UUGGAUUUAUAUAUACAUACACUAUUUUCUUUUCUUGAGUCAUGGAAUAAUCUCAGCCCACAUUUCUCCAGGGAGUAAUUAUUUAACUCCUCAACCCUCUUCUCAUCAUAAUUGCUCGAUGAUGGAAGACACUAGAAAGAAAUAAAUCAAGAAAAAGUAGCAAACACACACAAUACAAGUAGAUUUCAACAGCAAACUAAUUAUAGUGAAGUUCAGCCAGAGGCCUAAACACACAGACACACAUCCAUAUGAUAUAUGGCAAGCUUGAAGCAUGACUAAACGAAAACGAUAUAAAACAUAGAUAUAUAAGAGAUAUAUAUAGUCUGACUCGUCGUUGUAAAAGUUUCCUCCUAGCUAGCCCAACUCGCUUGAAGCUAGACAAGAGAGAUUUUCCAGCAAAGAGGAGCAGAAAAUGCCAAAGGAUCGAAGUUGCCCUAUAAGAGAAACCGCCAUUGAGAAGGCGAUUCAGGUUCAUUCUUCAACUUACACCUCCAUUGCUUCCACAAUUCUUGAUGGAGAGAAUUGAUGAGAGCAAUCUUUCUUGAUGAUGAUCGACCAACCCAUCUCCCUUUAUUUAUUCUUGAGCAAG
rnacentral:misc_RNA from 1 species